GAUUAACGCUGGCGGCGUGCCUAAUACAUGCAAGUCGAGCGAACAGACGAGGAGCUUGCUCCUCUGACGUUAGCGGCGGACGGGUGAGUAACACGUGGAUAACCUACCUAUAAGACUGGGAUAACUUCGGGAAACCGGAGCUAAUACCGGAUAAUAUAUUGAACCGCAUGGUUCAAUAGUGAAAGACGGUUUUGCUGUCACUUAUAGAUGGAUCCGCGCCGCAUUAGCUAGUUGGUAAGGUAACGGCUUACCAAGGCAACGAUGCGUAGCCGACCUGAGAGGGUGAUCGGCCACACUGGAACUGAGACACGGUCCAGACUCCUACGGGAGGCAGCAGUAGGGAAUCUUCCGCAAUGGGCGAAAGCUUGACGGAGCAACGCCGCGUGAGUGAUGAAGGUCUUCGGAUCGUAAAACUCUGUUAUUAGGGAAGAACAAAUGUGUAAGUAACUAUGCACGUCUUGACGGUACCUAAUCAGAAAGCCACGGCUAACUACGUG
rnacentral:rRNA from 1 species